UACGAAGGGGGCUAGCGUUGUUCGGAAUCACUGGGCGUAAAGGGCGCGUAGGCGGCUUUAUAAGUCGGGGGUGAAAGCCUGUGGCUCAACCACAGAAUUGCCUUCGAUACUGUAGAGCUUGAGACCGGAAGAGGUAAGUGGAACUGCGAGUGUAGAGGUGAAAUUCGUAGAUAUUCGGAAGAACACCAGUGGCGAAGGCGGCUCACUGGCCCGGUACUGACGCUGAAAUACGAAAGCGUGGGGAGCAAACAGG
rnacentral:rRNA from 1 species